CGGCACUAAUGCUGUUUUCUACUCUUGGGAGAAUCCGGGCUUUGAAGAUGUACGCAACCAUCAAGGUUAUCUGGAAGAACAUUGCCUUCUGGAAACAUUUCCAGGGAGAGCAUGUCAACAGCACAAUCUGGUUCCACUGCCAGGUACGCCUUGCCCGUGAGAGGAGGAGGGAAACUCAGCAAAGGUUGUUCCAAGGAACUCUUCCUUAGGCGUGGAGGUAGAAAGUCCAUGCUCUCUCACAGCCAAGGACAGUCUGUCUUCCAAGACCACGCCCCCCGGUACAUAGUUGUAUAUUCUUCACUGUGGGUCCUUCUAGUUGUGGCAUGUGGGACGCUGCCUCAGCGUGGUUUGAUGAGCAGUGUCAUGUCCGCGCCCAGGAUUCGAACCAAGGAAACACUGGGCCACCUGCAGCGGAGCGCGCGAACUUAACCCCUCGGCCACGGGGCCAGCCCCACAGGAGGUUGAGUUUUGAAAACCUAAUUUC
rnacentral:lncRNA from 1 species